rnacentral:rRNA from 1 species
UACAGAGGGGGCAAGCGUUGCUCGGAAUUACUGGGCGUAAAGGGCGCGUAGGCGGGAUGGCAAGUCGGUCGUGAAAUCCCUCGGCUCAACUGAGGAUCGUCGAUCGAUACUGCCGUUCUUGAGGAUUGCAGAGGAGACUGGAAUUCCUGGUGUAGCGGUGAAAUGCGCAGAUAUCAGGAGGAACACCGAUGGCGAAGGCAGGUCUCUGGGCAUUAACUGACGCUGAGGAGCGAAAGCAUGGGGAGCGAACAGG